rnacentral:lncRNA from 1 species
GGAUUUUUUAUCAACAAGGUAUUGGUUUCUCCCGAUAACCUUUUUUUUGUAAGAAUAUUUAGAAUUAAAAGACGUUCUUUGAGCUACAUGUAACCAUAGUUCAUCAACUGACACUGGUACAGUUUUGUAUCACUGGCAUAGAUUACCUUAGCCGUAUUUUGGCACAACUUUUCGGAAUUUUGGAUCCUCAAUGCUCUCCAAUUUUGUACUUGUUUGCCUUUAUAAAUAUUUUGAUAUGAGAGUCAGUGAUGAGUCUUAUGUAGACAAAACGCACGUCUGGCUACUAAAUGAUAAUCCUGGUAAACUAUUUAUAAAGUUUGAGUAGCAUCUGUAAGCUCUUGAAUACCGAAUGAGUUGAGAAAUAUAUUUCUCAUAUCCAGGGUUAGUUGGUAUUUUGCUACUAAGGUG